CCUACGGGGAGCAGCAGUGAGGAAUAUUGGUCAAUGGACGAGAGUCUGAACCAGCCAAGUAGCGUGAAGGAUGACUGCCCUAUGGGUUGUAAACUUCUUUUAUAUGGGAAUAAAAUGUUCCACGUGUGGGCUUUUGUAUGUACAAUAUGAAUAAGGAUAGGCUAACUCCGUGCCAGCAGCCGCGGUCAUACGGAGGAUCCGAGCGUUAUCCGGAUUUAGUGGGUUUAAAGGGAGCGUAGAUGGAUUGUUAAGUCAGUUGUGAAAGUUUGCGGCUCAACCGUAGAAUUGCAGUUGAAACUGGCAGUCGUGAGUACAGUAGAGGUGGGCGGAAUUCGUGGUGUAGCGGUGAAAUGCUUAGAUAUCACGAAGAACUCCGAUUGCGAAGGCAGUUCACUGGACUGCAACUGACACUGAGGCUCGAAAGUGUGGGUAUCAAACAGGAUUAGAUACCCGUGUAGUC
rnacentral:rRNA from 1 species